rnacentral:lncRNA from 1 species
AAGCUGCUGCUUCCUUCUUAUUAAACAAUACAACUAAUAAUUAAUUAUUAUUAAAAAUGACUCUGUCUUCUGCUUGAUCUCUCUCAGUCUCAGUAUACCAUCGACCUCCUAAUUUCCCUCACCAAAUUUCUUAAACCUUUUUCUCUUGAUCUGUGCUUCCUUUUUCUGAUUGAAUCGAAUCAUCUCAUCUGGAGUUCAACAUCUUUCUUGCUUGGAAGGUGAGUUUUACUUUCUUUUCCUGUUUUUCUACCACUAAUUUUGUUUCAAAUAAGAUCUGCCCAU